GACGGAGGAUGCAAGCGUUAUCCGGGAUGAUUGGGCGUAAAGCGUCCGCAGGUGGCAGUUCAAGUCUGCUGUCAAAGACCGGGGCUUAACUUCGGAAAGGCAGUGGAAACUGAACAGCUAGAGUAUGGUAGGGGCAGAGGGAAUUCCUGGUGUAGCGGUGAAAUGCGUAGAGAUCAGGAAGAACAUCGGUGGCGAAGGCGCUCUGCUGGACCAUAACUGACACUCAGGGACGAAAGCUAGGGGAGCGAAUGGG
rnacentral:rRNA from 1 species